GUAUUGUUGUUGUCAACCUCCAUCCCAGAACCUGCGACAAACGUGGCGCGGGUUUAAUCCAUUUACAAUCCGUAAAAUCUGUGUGUCUUGGUCUUGGGCGAGCUUGUGGGAUACCGGGUGCUUUGUAAUUCAAAGGUGACUUGUGUUUUCCUGCAAACCCGCGGUUGCUAAAAAUAGCUGCAUUUUUCCCAGCGUGCCUCAAAGCCGGCGGAGGAGACGCAUGGAUUGAUUGAGGGGCGGAGAGAGGGAAAGGUGCUAAUAUCACUGUCAGCUCUAAUGCUACAGCGGAGGAGAGAGAGAGAGAGUACAUAUUUCAAUACACAACACAGCCUAUACACAGUGAGGGGCUGCUCAUUAGUGACAAAACAUCAGGUCAGGAAUUCAAGCAAUUGGCAGCAUGGAGGUCGCUUUUAAUUACUAACAUGUUACAAUUUUUAUUUUCUGUUAGUUCUAACAAACUCUGAAGCUCAAAAUGCUAAAAUACAAGAGAACCACUGCUCUGCCGUCGAUGUAAAACACGAAAUGAUGAUUGUUUAAACACCCAGUGAUCAUGUUGUAAUUAGUUGAUGACAACGUCCGCGUGAGCCUUUUUGUCCUUCCAGGAGACGCGACGUCUUGAUGCCGCAAAAAUUCGGAGACAGAAGGAACUCAGGUGGAUUCGCCUUCUCCCUGGACCUGAACGUAGCACCGGGAGCGCGAUCCUCGCACGCAAACGCACCACGGAGCGUUUCGCCGACUGUUUGCUUCAAAGUGUGACAUGAAUGUGGGCAGUUUGCAUAAUUGCUGCGUGUCGUUAAUAAAGAAAACACAUGUUUUGGCCGCUCCGCCCACUAAACUCCCACCUUUGCUAUAAUAAUAGCUUAUUCCUCUGUGCUGUAAUUGCUUCUUUAAAGGUGCUAAAACAUGGCAUGUAGUAUAUUUUCCUUGUGGCAUAUGUAAGAUAUAAAGGUUUCUAUUUUAGCCCAAAGCAGGGGCGUAAACAACGUGUUCCCGAUUCACUCUCCUCCACACUUUAUUAUUUUAUCCAUAACUUUAUUUCGUUUCGUCUUCAACUAACAGCCCGCCCGCAUUGUUUUGAGGCCUCCUCACGACCGCGCUGCAAAAAAAAAUAUGACGCAACCUGUUCCCUGACUGAUGGACGUGUAAUUACCAACAGACUUUCCCGCCACGUUUUUAACACCUAGUCGCACGCGCAGCAUCGGAGCUUUAAGAAGAAUACGACUUUCCAGGCGGGGCUGAAGACGCUGGAGGCAGGAUGACCAUGCAGAGGCAGAAGGAAUGAGGCCGUGCAGGUGGAUCUGACUGCUGCACAUGAGGCACGUCGGUCCCAAAGAAGCCCUGCGAUGACGAGCAGAGCCUUUUGUUGUGCUCUGACUCAGAGGAGGCCGCUGCUCCCAGCACAGGAUUCGUCAGGUACUUGACCACGAAAUGCUGUGAAAACGAAAGGAGCUGCUGAACAUGAGCGGGCGCUUUCACACGGCUUUUGACUCACCUUUGGCUCCAAAACCAGAAUCUGCUUCUAAUUGAUCACUACAGUCCUGUCAUGAGCCGAACACCUCCCGCUUCACGUCCUAUGGAGGUUUGUUACAGAUGUGCGUACAUGUCUUGUCACUAAAUCACAAGGUGCGUUCAGGUUCGUUUGGAGCAUCCAGGGGAAGAGUUGAUUAUCUGGCACGGUGUGUUUAUUCUGUUUGUAGAUAGGAAAAGAUUAUUUUACAGAUGGUUAUGUUCUGGAUCGUUUCUUUGCCAGUAACUUCUUGGAGUCUGUGCCGGUUGCCUGGCAACUGUUCAGAGUCAAGAAAUAAACCUGUUAAAAAGUCAAGCUUUAAUAAAAGAAACACUAAAGCGGUGCUUAAAACACAAGAUGGUAAAUUAUUUAUGAAAAAAAAUAUUAAUUGCGUGAUUGAGUUGAUCAUGUGGAAAAUUAAAUAUGGGACUUUAUCAGAACUCUGUGUUUGCGUGUGGUUUUAAUCGUAUGG